UGCCUUGAAACCUGCAACUGCCUCCCCUAUAUCAAUCUUGUUCGGGUUCGCUCGGACUAUGGACAUAAACGCGCAUGUAAUACACGGAUCGGACCCGGGGGCGGUACCCGGCGGCUCCACCAAUCAUCCUAUCGUUUGGGAUCUUGGGGCCGAAAUAGGAUCGACGAACGUUUAAAGAUGUAAGCUUUGUCUCGGUGAGCUACCACCGUUAUCGGUGCGAAACGUACAGUUGCAAACGACAACCGUGCUCCGGUGGCUCUUGCUGCGUAAGCAGUUCGAGUACCGAAACCUAACUCCUUGCGCCUAGCAGCGUAAGGCGGGGCCCGCAGGAGCCUUGCAACAGAAUCCUGCACC
rnacentral:tmRNA from 1 species